UGGGCCAGAGGCAAUAUAUGUAACAUAAACAUUUGUAUCCCCAUGAUAUUCUAUUUAGAUAUUUGUUUUAUUAUUACUAGAGAAUUAUGAAUUAAUCAAUUAACAAAAGUAGAUGAAAAUAAAGUAAAUGAGACGCAAGCCAAGACAAAUGAUUGUUAUAUAAAUUGUAUGUGGUGAAUACUGUGUCUAUAAGUCUGUAUGUAAUCCAGUGUAAAAUGAAAUAUAAUCUAUAGCUUCUGUUUGAAAUGAAUAAAAUGUAAUGCAUUGUUUCUGUUUCAAAUGUUUAUUUUCUACAUAUUCUAGGAACAUAAAAGGAUUAUUUUCUUGAAUUGUUUCUGUGAAAUUGGAUUCUGUUAUUAUAAAUGGAUCAAUCAUUGUAGAAAUAUAAGUAAACAUAAGUAAAGAUGAGGAGUGUGAAACAUGUCUACUGUUAACAUAUGUGGUGAGGCAGUAAAAAUUGUUCAAAUGUAUUAAAAAUACUGAAUUGCUUUAAAAAAAUGGUUCAAGUAUCUUACUUCUUUGACUAAGAAUGAUAAAGACAAUAUAAAUAGUCAAAGUUCACGUUCUGGAUCAGUGACAAUUUUGGCAUUAUUCAUUUUCUUAAGAAGAAAAUUAGAAUUACCCCAAAUUAAAUUAAUAUAUAGCUAGAUGAUUGACUAAAUGAAGGGUUGAAUGCACAGAACAAUGUUGAUAACAUCUGAAUCUUGCUAUCUGCUCUGCUUUGUACUUCUUACCAAGGACACCCACGGACUUGUUUAAGCAUUCUGCUGUGUUCAUGAGCUCCAUGGUUACCUCCAUGUUAGGAGCAUCAAGUCUAUGAAUGAAUGCACCAGACAAUGUAAACCUUCUGCUAUGAUCAAGAUUGAGUUGCCUUUGCAUAGGAGUGAGACCAGUAAUGGGCACACUUGAGCUGAUUUAAGCGUUCAUGGUCCCGAGGUCUGCGGUUGUCCGUUUGUUAGUAGCGUUGACACCAAAAAUGGACACAGCAGAGCUGACUCAGCACCUGGCCGUGAUCUGGUCCACGUUUGUGCAGAUGCAUGUAGACCAAUAGUGGAUGCCCUGAGCUGGCUUCAGUGUCUCGCUGUGAUCUGGAUUAUGCCACCUCUGUGUCAGGCCAAUAAUGGGCACACCCAGGCUGAUUUUAGCAUUCUCCUGCGGACACGGAGAGACUUUGACUUCUAUGGACACGAAGUGGUGAUUAACUCUGUGUUAGGAGCACGAAGACCAAGGUGAGUAACAGUCAAAAUUCUUGUCUCAGUUUGGGUGUUCUGUUAGAUAGUAUUUACUGUAUUAUUUAAAAAGCGUAAAAUAUGAUCAGUGACCAGCAGCCAUGGCCUAGUCAUAAAAGUGUAAUUAAUAUAUAUGUGACAUUGAGGUCAAUUAAUGGAAGAGUGGUGUAGCUAUAGGAGAUUAUUCUACAGGCAGAUGUUGGAAAUACCAAGCCUCUUGUUAUCUAGUUUUUGUGACUCUUGGUAUUUAUUUUAUUAUUAUUAGUGCACUGAUAUAUUAAAUUGAUGAUACCAUGUAGACAUGAAUGAAGAAAAUGAGAGCCAGGUUUGGGUCUAUGAUGACCGCUAGUGGCCUAUGAGUUGUAUACUAUUAACACGUGUCUGGAACUCUGAGGUCCAGCAAGAAAAGAAUCUAGGUUAUUGCCUCUUUUGGAAAUGAUCCUAUAGAUUAUUGGGGAAUAUAUAAAGAUCUUGUUUUGGCUUUUUUUUAUUGUUUAUGGAUUUUGAUCAUAUCAUAAUAAGUGGAUAAAUAAUAAAAGAAUCAAUGUACAGAUAUAAAUUAGAAAAAAAAUGAAGUGGCAAGAGAAUAUACACAUAUAUAUAUCAAAAAAGCCCAAAUAGUUCAGGAUUAUACAGAUGAUAUAAAUAAUUGCCCAUAUUUUUGCUCUAGGCUAGUGUGGAUAGUUUGAUAUUUAUUUUUCUUAAGUUAAAGUGUAACAUAUAUUGCCCCAAAUCAAUAUAUAUCUCAAAAUAUUAAUACAAGGAUCAGUAGAGAGAAUGUCUCAAAUGUAUUUUCAUCUGCUGUGCUUUGUAAUUGUCGGAGUGGACACACCUGAACCCAUAGAAGCGUCUACGAGCUCCGCCGGUGCCCCUGUGUGUAGGCGCAUGGAGACCAAAAAUGAGUGCACCUAGCUGAUGUAAACAUUCCACUGUGACCAUGAACUCUGUGUGUCAUGAGCAUAGAAACCAAUGUGGAGGCUUCCUGCUGUCCCGAGGUCUGCGGUGGCCACACGCCCUGUGGUUCGCCUCUGCACUGGGAGCGUGGAGACCAAUAAUGGACGUGCUUGUUCUGAUUUGAGGACUCUUCCAUGGCCACAUGCUGUUUGCACCAUGCCUCAGAAGGAGGAUGCAGACCCCUCAUGGAUGCUUUCGAGAUUGCUUACGCACUGGUCCAUGGCCACAGGCUUUGUGGAUGCGUCUAUAUAUCAGGAACAUCAAGAGCCAUAAUAGAUGCACCCGGCUGAUUUAAGGAUUUUUGCCUUGAUCGAGAUAACUUGUGUUAUCCCUGUGUUACCAAAGAGACCGAUAAUGGACACACUCGUGUUGAGGCAGGCAUUCUUCCGUGGUCACAAGCUCCCUGGUUGCAUCCAUGUCUUAGGAGCAUAAGGAGCCAUAAUGGAUGCACCAGGCUGAUGUAAGCAUUCUGGCACGUUGGAGACUUUUCUCGUACUGCUGUUGUGUUUAGAAAGGGAACGACGUGAGUAAUAGCCAAAUUCUUGUUUUCCUUUGCGUAGUCAACUUAAGGUGCUCAUGAUAUUAUUAAAAAUUUUAAAUUAGUCAGAAGCUAACCAUGGCCCAGUGAUAAAUAUGAUAUGGGACAUUAUGCUUAUUAAUUGUUAAUGUGCCACUUGGAGAUUGAUUAAUGAGAAAGGCUUAGUCUAAUGUGGAAAAGGGUUCUGUAGACAGAUGUUGGAAAUGUCAGGCAUCGUGUUCGUAGGUUUUUGUGAAUCUGUUAUUUUAUUCUUAUGAAUUAAUUAAUGGCUUAUUCAAAAUAAAUGCAGAAAUGAAUGAGAAUUAAGAGGCCAAACACGGGUUAGUGAUGGGCUGGUGUCAUGGGAGCCAUAUACGAUGUGACCAUAUGUCACAAAUGUCUUGGUCUAAGGCACCCUCUAGACGCAGGUUAGGAAUAGACAAGAUCCCUUGUCUUGACCUUUGUGUUCAUAUAUUUUCAUUCUGUUAGAAUUGGAUCAAUGAGAGAAUCAAUAAGUAAAUAAAUUAAUGAAAUAUUAUUCAAUUAAAAAUAAGUGUUGGGCCAAGAAACAUUAUUAAUAUAUUACGAAACCACUGAAUUCCGAUUCAAAAUAAAUUUGUACCUGUCACCUCCUUGGCUAAGGAUGAAAUAGAUAGUAUAAUUUACAGAUAGUGUUCAUGUUCUGGGUAUGUGGCAAUUUUCAAUUUGUUCAUUUUCUUAAGAGGAAAAAAAAAAUUACUUUAGAUUAAUGUUUGCCUAAAUGACUGACUGAAUGAAAGGUGAAAAGCAAGGACAAGUGGAAAGAAUGUCUUAGGUUUUUUUUUUUCUUUUUUCUUUUUAUCUGCCCUGUUCUGUUUUCCUCACAAUGGACCCAUCUGGGCUGAUUGGUUCUGAGCUCUGCGGUUGCAUCUGUACUGAGGACCUGGAGAUCAAUAAUGGACAACUUCGAGGUGGUUCCAGCCUGUUCGUUGCAUCUCUGGGUUGCAGCGCGAAGACCCAUAAUGGAUGCACCCAGCUGGCUGAAAGUGUUCCGCUCUGGUCAAGAUUAUUAUGUUGCCUCUGCGUUGGGAAAAAGACCACGGUGAACUCUACGCAAACUUCUUAUCUUGGCGUGGGUGAUUUGCUUGAGGGCAUUCAUGGCAUUAUUAUAAAAAGUAUUAAAUUAUUCAGGAAGAUAGAAGUAAGUUCAAGAGAUACAUUGUACAACAUGGUGACUAUAUUUAAUAACAAUAUAUUGUAUUCUCAAAAAAGGCUGAGAAGGGGAUGUUAAGUGUUUUUACCAUAAAAAUAGCUAUGUGAAGUAAUUCCUAUGUUAAUGAGAUAGAUUUAGUUAUUCCACUAUAUAUAUAUAUAUGCUUCAGGACAUCAUGUUGCACAUGAAAAAUGCAUACAAUUUAAAUAAAAAUUUAAACCUGGCCGGGCGCGGUGGCUCACGCCUGUCGUCCUAGCUUUCUGGGAGGCCGAGGCGGGCGGAUAGCUGCUGCUUUAGGGGUUCGACACCAGUCUGAGCACAGCCUGGGCACAGUGAGACCCCGUCUCUAAAAAAAAAAAAUUUAAACAUAUUGAAUUAAUAAAAAAUUAACCUUGGCUCGUUGACAAGUAUGAUAUGAAACAUCAUGUUGUUUAAUUUAUCAUGUGCAACACUGAGGUCAAUUAAUGAAAGAUAGUCUACAUUAAAAAUAAUUCUAUAGAUAGUUGUUAUAGAUAUUUAAGGACCUUGGGCUUUUUUGAACCAUGUAUCUAUUUUUAUUUAAUAUUAAUAAAAUAAUCCUUUAAAUGAUAAAAAUGUAGGAACAAAUGAAGAAAGUGAGACUCAGUCAUGGACCAGUGAUGACAACUGGUGGCGUUUGAGUCAUGUACGAUGAAUAAUUCGUGUUUGAAAUUGAGGGUCCAACACAAAAUCUAAUUAGUUGAUUCCUUUUGUUGGAAUUGUCUCUAUGGAGAAAUGUAAGGAAUAUAUAAAGACAAUGCCCUCAUAUUGAUUCAGUUCAUUUAGCUUUAUUAUUGUCAAUAGCUCAGUGACAGAUUCACUAAACUAAUAUAAAUUAACAUAUAAAGAAGAGCAUCGAGCAUUGUCUAUGCACGUUUAUGUGGAGAUAAGAAAUAUUAAUAAAAUUUGAAAACACUGAUAGCCAUUUAGAAACAAAUGCAUAUUUAUUUACCACUUUGAGCAAUUUAUCUUACCACUUGGGUAAGAAUCAUAUAAGCAAGAGUCUAAUUUUAUUAUUCUAGGUUAGACUCAAGAUGGAAGUGUUCCUUGUGUUAUGAUUAAAAAAUAUGUGUAUACACCCACUCAUAAUGAACAAGUAACAAAUACCUAAACGACUGAGUAAAUGGAAUGCAGAAAGCAAGAAUCAAGGGAGAUAAGCUCUUAAUUUUUUUAUCAUCUGCUCUGCCUUGUACUCCUAGGAUGGACACAUUCAAGAUGAUUUAAACAUUCUUCCAUGGUCACAAGCUCUGUGGUUAUCUGUGUAUAUUAAGAGCACAGAGAUCAAAAAUGGACCCACGCAAACCGAUUUAGGAAUUCUUCCUUGGCCAGAAGCUUGUCGGUCGCGCCUCUGUGAUAGGAGCCCAGAGAAGAGUCCCUACUUUCUUCACCCCAGAAUGGACUCACUCCAGUAGAUUCACGCACUGGGAGCCUGCAGACCCUUAAUGGACCCACUUGGCUCACUUAGGCACUCUUCCGUGGUCUCUAGCUCUACGGCCGCACCUGUGUCUUGGGAGCCUGCAGACCAGCUAAUGAUCCAGCCUCUGCAAAUGUGAAAGUGAAUGAAGAAAAGUUGGCCGGAGGGAUGCACCCGCUGAUGGACGCAUUCCUGCAUGGCCACUUGCCCUGUGUCGCACCUGCUUGUUAGCAGCAUAGAGACCCAUAAUGGACGUACUUGUUCUGACUCGAGGAUUCCUCCCCUGUCCCAUGCUCCGUGGGCACCGUGCGUUGGCAGGCAGAUGCAGACUCAUAACUGGUGACUUGCGCUGAUUUGUGGAUUCCUUCAGGAUCAGAUGCUCGGCUUUUGCCGUGGUUGGGAGCGUGCAGACCACUAAUGGACAUAUUUGUGCUGAUUUAAGGAUUUCUGCAUCAUCAUGUGCGGUGCAGCUUAGGAAGGAGCAUGUAGACCUAUAGCGCUCAUCCUUUGCGGAUUGGAGGAUUCAUCAAAGGUCAUGUGCUGUGUUUGCACCUUGCUGAGGAAGGAGCCUGCAGAUGGCUGGGAUGACCCGUGCUGCAGUGAGGAUUCCCCACGACCACGUGCUCUGUGCUGAGGAAGGAGCCUGCAGACAGCUAGUGGAAGACCUGUGCCAUGCCCUGUUUGGACCAUGCUUAGGAAGGAGCAUGCAGAUCACUGAUGGAUGUAUUUGUGACGAUCUCAAGAUCCCUCCGGGGUCACGAGCUCUGAUUUGACCCAUGUUCUGGAAGGCGCGUGCAGACCAAACAUGGACGAGUGGUGCUGGUUUAAGGAUUCCUCCACGGUCCCCAUCCACGUUGGGAUCCCGGUCAGGUGCGUACGGACUAAUGUGAGUAAUAGACAGCAUUCUUGACUCAGUUCAGGUGCUUUGUUUAAGAGGACUCAGUGGUGUCAUCAAAAGUAUAAUAUGGGCCGGGCGCGGUGGCUCACGCCUGUAAUCCUAGCUCUCUGGGAGGCCGAGGCGGGCGGAUUGCUCAAGGU